rnacentral:rRNA from 1 species
GGGGUUAAGGUAAAGAAGUCGUACCUGCCCGGUGAUCAGUUGAUUUAACGGCUGCGGUAAAUUGUACAAAGGUAGCAUAGUAGUUAGCCCUUUAAUUGGGGGAUGGAAUGAAUGGUCUGACGUGGAAAAACUGUCUUUAAUGUAGUUUUGGUGAAAUUUCUUUUUAAGUGAAAAGGCUUAAAUGUUUGUAAAAGAAGAGAAGACCCUGUCGAACUUAAUUAGAAAUGUAAAAUUCACAUAUAUAGUGUGGUUUUAUGUUUUGAAGUUUUGUUGGGACGGCAGAGGAUUAGAAGAAACAUCCUUUUUUUGAAUAGAGAACCUGUUUAUGAUGGCUAAUAAGCAGAAGUUACCGCAGGGAUAACAGCGUAAUAUCUUCCUGAGAGAUCGUAUUGAGGGAAGGGUGUGCGACCUCGAUGUUGAAUUAAGGAGAACUCUAUGGUUGUAGAAGCUAUGGUAGUAAAACUGUUCGUUUUUUAAAUCCUUACAUGAUCUAGUUUCCAAAAC